ensembl:processed_transcript 1700055C04Rik RIKEN cDNA 1700055C04 gene
AGAAGGUGUGUGACUGAUAUUCUACCGGCCACUGUGGAGGAGACACGAGCCAGGCAAGGCAGGCCACCGCUAGAAGUUGGACAGGGCAAGUGGGUGAAUUCUUUCUCCCCUCAAGCUUCCUCAAAAGCCCAGAGUUGGGCUGCUGAGACAGUUUGGCAGCCCGGGCAGUGCUGACCCCAAUAGGGUGACCUCUGUGGAGAGUCCUCACGGAUAUCAGCAAAAAGCAAGCUCACCAGAGGAAGAGUGUGCCCUCCAGCGUGCAGGGACUGACGUGUCCCAAGAAACACAGAAACAUCUACCACGUUUGCCAUUGGCACAUCUGAUCGAAUGAAUAAAUGACACGAAGUGCCAAGCC